GAGGAAUAUUGGUCAAUGGACGAAAGUCUGAACCAGCCAUGCCGCGUGCAGGAAGACUGCCCUACGGGUUGUAAACUGCUUUUAUGUGGGAAUAAACCCCUGGAUUCUUCCGGGGCUGAAGGUACCACACGAAUAAGGAUCGGCUAACUCCGUGCCAGCAGCCGCGGUAAUACGGAGGAUCCAAGCGUUAUCCGGAUUUAUUGGGUUUAAAGGGUCCGUAGGCGGGACAUUAAGUCAGUGGUGAAAGCCUUCAGCUUAACUGGAGAAUUGCCAUUGAUACUGAUGUUCUUGAGUACACCUGAAGUGGGCGGAAUGUGUCAUGUAGCGGUGAAAUGCAUAGAUAUGACACAGAACACCGAUUGCGAAGGCAGCUCACUAAAGUGUAACUGACGCUGAGGGACGAAAGCGUGGGGAGCGAAC
rnacentral:rRNA from 1 species